GGGAGCUUAAUAAUAUUUCCUCUGGAGGUAUUUUAACAGUCAUGGAACUUUGCUUCUCUCUCCCCUCCAAUAUUUACUGAGGAUUCGUGACGUCUCCUUUCUGUGCUGGAGGCAGGUUAGCAUGGCCCAGAGAGCGGAAGGGACUUGCCCAAGGACACACAGCAAGGUAGAGACAGAGCAGGCCCUGGCUGCAGCCUCCUGAUGCCAACCACCUGGUGCCCAGAGCUCCCUGAGUGUCAAGGCAGGGUGGCCUCCAAAAUGGAUCCUCCUGCUGCCGGCCUGACCCUGCUCCUAUUUCAGGUCCACCGCUGGGCAGGGCAGCUGGAGGAUGAUUUCCUGAGAGGAAGGGCUCCUGCUCCCUCAACAACUCACACCUCCUCCGCCUUGUUUCUAGGCGAAUCCU
rnacentral:lncRNA from 1 species